GCUAGAUAGAAUGUGAAUGGCUGUCACUCCCAUUUAUUACAAAAACAGUUGCGGGUGGGGGCCAUAAUUGUUGUAUAGCCUCCUUGCAAGAGCUUGGAAACUGAAGGGCAAAGCUCUAAAUGAAUCCCUACUUCAAACAACUAAAUUAAUAAAAAGAAACAGGAUUGGAUUUUUCAUUGUGUGGGAGCACAGGGGCUUCCAUCUGAGAACUCAGCUGAACAAAUUAUCUGUAUAUUAACAGAUCAUAGUGGGAUGUGUCAGGAGUAAUCCUCUUACCUGCCAAAAUGAAGACCAUCUAGGACAGACAGAUACAUUUGAAGAUAAAACAAAUGGGCAGAGAAAUACAAGGACUGGACUUGAAGGCUUAGAGAAUUGAGAUGCUGUGACUUGCCUGAGGGCUGGUGAGCAGGGGCCUGACUUGGAACUACAGCUGGGAGUUGCUGCUACAGGGCUGGUGAACCAGGACAGGCUUCCACCC